UCUGCUCCUUUGCGCCGGGGCGCGUGCGGCGCCAGUGAAGCCCGCUCAGGGAAAGGGCGGCGCUCCCGGGGGCCUUGUGCAGGCCCUGCGGCCGGGGUGCGAACAGGCUCACUCAGUAGGUCUGCGCAGGCAGGAGUGUGAGCAUGUGCAGGAGCCAAUAGGACUGUGUUGGUUUCCUGUUGCCCCUGGGCUGGGGGUGAGCGAGUUGUCGCUGCUGUAGAGCUGUUGCUCCGGGCCCGGGGAACUCAAUAGGUACAGCGGCACACGCGGAAUUUGUGGGUCUGGGAGGGAGACAUUAGUGCUUCUGGGAAAGGUGGGUCGGUCCCAGCAGGGAGGCGGCUCAGUUCGACUCCAGAAGCAUGGCAGGCUCUGGGCCCUUUCGUGUCGUGCUGGCCAUGCUGGAAGGCUGCUAUGCCGAGGUGCUGGGGCUUGAACAGUUUGUGCAGAGGCUCCGGGAGGCGGCUGCCUGCGGGCCUGGCGAAGCUGAACUGUUGCAGCGCGGAGACUCCGAGCUCUACCAGACGUUUGUGUCCCAGUGCGUGGUGUGCGUCCCUCGGGGAGCCCGAGCCAUCCCCCAGCCCCUCUCCUUCCAACAGUUAUCUAGUGAAAGUGAAGUAGUAAUAAGAGUCAUUCAAAGACUUUGUGAAAAAAAGAAGAAGAAUGUCCUUGCAUUUGGGUAUACAUUAUUGGAUGAAAACAGUUCCUAUUCACAGGUUAUAUCUACUUCAAAUAUAUGCAGCUAUCUACCUAAUACUGCAACAGAAACUCUUCGGAUGAGUGUCCUAUGGGAAACGUUAUUGAGCAGGAUAGGGGAUGAUGUUAUGAUGUAUUUAUUGGAACACUGUGCUAUCUUUAUGCUAGUGCCACCUAGUUGCUCUUAUCAAAUAUGUGGGCAGCCUGUGUAUGAGCUUACUUCAAGUAAUGCAGCACCCUCCGCAGUGUUUGUUAAACAAAGGUAUUCAAAAAGUAGACAUAAUAUUUUGUUUGACUACGUGCAAAAAAGAUUUCAGUUAUCAAAGACAAACAGGUGGAAAUGGAAACCAAGAUCAGAAAUUAAUAUCUUGAACACUAAAAGUCAAAGGAAUAAUAAAACACAAGGCUCUGUGCCUGAUUAUGAGCAUUCUGCCACAGCUAAGGGAGCUGUUAGGCAAAAUUCUAAAACAAACAAACAGGUCAGAAUGGCCACUGGACACCUGGAAAAUCGCAGAGGACCUAACCUAUAUCCAGUUGCUACAGCCACACCUUCAAAAAGGAAGCUUGAUAGGGAUCAAUUUGAAGUUACAGCUAAAAGGAUGAAGAUAAACCUAAGGGAAGAAGAGGGUGCUUGGAACCUUGGUUCUAAUGUAGAUAAAAAUAAGUUCACUCUGGACAUCAUUUAUGAUACACAGUCUCUUUCAUUUGUAGAAUCAUUUUCUGUAAAUAACUUUAUUAAAAUAAAGUCUCAAGAAAAUGAGGGCAGAGCAGAGACUCCUGAUGCACCUUCUUUAGUGCAGGAAGCUCAAGAUAGUAAGGAAAAGUCUAUGACAGAUGAUGAGAAUUCGUUAAGGCUGCGUGUUCAGUGUAAUAAACUUUAUAAAUCUAGCACCGAGACUAAAUCAAAUUCCAGCAGAGAGGGAGUUGAGCUAGAUAUCUGUAAAUUUCAGGUUGGUUCUGUACAAACGAAAAAAGCAGAAGAUACAUUUUUAAAAUACAGAGGGCUUAAGUGCCCCCCAACUAAUAUAGCUAAGAAGCUAUCCAAUAAAAUCUCACGUUCCAGAGUGUACAUUGGGAGGAAAGGUCUCUUAUAUUCUUCCAGGAGCUUCCGAGAAUGUUUUCCUAAAUCAUUUUUAUUGAAUCGCUUAAAAGGCUGCCAGGCAGGGGGACGACGACUUGUAGAAACGAUAUUCUUAAACAGCAAAAUAUUGGUGCAAAAAUGCAGUGAAAACACACCAAGUUACAACUGGAGAAAGAAGAGAUUGCCCAGACGCUACUGGCAGAUGAGAGAUGUAUUUCAAAAAUUGUUAAAGAAUCAUGCAAAGUGUCCCUAUUUAGUACUUUUAAAAAAGAAUUGUCCGGUCUGGAUUUCUGAGACAAAUUCAAGCAAAACUGAUACAAUGUGUCAGUCAGUUUCAUGUGAUGGAGUACAGAUUGAUAGGGAAGCAGAAGGUCAACUUGGGAAAGAGCCUCCUAUAUGUUUGACUAGCAAUGGCAGAGAAGGUGGUUACAGUGCUGUUCCAAAUAGUUCGUGUUCACUUUCAAAAAGAACUUCAACUGAUUUAAGUAUCUUAAGCAACCCUGAGAAAUUUGUGUUGGGGCGAACAGAAAAUGAAAGACAAAAUGCUAAAGACUUCUGUGAUCCUAGCUUGAAGGAGCUUCUCAGACAGCACAGCAGCCACUGGCAGGUGUAUGUUUUCGUGCGGGAAUGUUUAGACCUGGUGGUACCAGCAGAACUGUGGGGUUCUAGCCAUAACAAAUGCCGUUUUUUAAAAAAUGUGAAAACAUUCAUCUCCUUGGGAAAAUUUGCCAGGUUUUCUUUGCAGGAAUUAAUGUGGAAGAUGAGAGUGAAUGACUGUACGUGGCUUCGUGUGAUCAAAGGUGAUCAUUUUGUUCCUGCUUUGGAACACCAUUACCGUGAAGAAAUUUUGGCCAAGUUCCUAUACUGGCUUAUGGAUACCUAUAUUGUACAGCUACUCAGAUCAUUUUUCUACAUCACGGAGACCAUGUUCCAGAAGAACAUGCUUUUCUUCUACCGAAAACUAAUUUGGAGCAAGUUACAGAACAUUGGAAUGAGAAACCAUUUUGCCAAAGUGCAUCUUCGUGCAUUAUCUGCAGAGGAAAUUGAAAAAGUACAGCAGAAGAAAUAUGUUCCUAUGGCAUCAAAACUUCGGUUCAUCCCUAAACCAAAUGGGUUGCGACCUAUAGUAAAAGUGAAUAGUGUUUUUGGAGCAAAAACAUUGAACAGGAAAAACAGAGACAAGAAGGUUCAUUAUUUCAACACUCAACUUAAAAAUCUAUUUAGUGUUCUGAAUUAUGAACGAACCGAAAACACCAGUCUUCUAGGCUCCUCAGUGUUUGGGAAAGAUGAUAUAUAUAAAAUAUGGAGGAAGUUUGUUUCUGAAGUUCUUGAAUCAAAUGAUAAAAUACCUCGUUUCUACUAUGUGAAGGCUGAUGUCACUGGGGCUUAUGAUACUAUUCCUCAUGAUAAACUUGUGGAAGUGGUCUCUCAAAUCUUAGAUCCCGAGAAAAGAACAGUCUACUGCAUACGGCGCUAUGCAGUGAUCAAGAUUACCAUGAGUGGACAAAUCAGAAAAUACUAUAGAAGACACGUUUCUACUUUCAAGGAUUUUAUGUCCCAUAUGAGAUUAUUUGUAUCCCAUCUGCAAGAGAGUACAUCGCUACAAAAUGCCAUAGUAGUUGAACAGAGCCUUUCUUUAAAUGAAACAAGCUCCAGCCUGUUUGCUUUUUUUCUGCAAAUGAUCCAUAACAACAUCUUGGAGAUUGAGGGCAGGUACUACUUACAGAGUUGUGGAAUUCCGCAGGGCUCCAUUUUAUCAACUCUGCUUUGCAGUUUAUGCUAUGGAGACAUGGAAAACAAAUUAUUCUGUGGAAUACAGCGAGAUGGUGUUCUCAUUCUUGGAAAUUGAUACCCAUUCAAACCACUGCAAUAUGCCUGCAGCCUUAACUCCACCAUAAUGAAAGUUUGUGCAGGAAUUUCCUUAGAGUCUUUGUUCCACACCCCCAUUCCCUUCUUGAGGUCUGCAGGAAGGGAGCUUCAAUAUUACGUCCUUCAAAGUCCUUAUGAAGGGAGCCCAGCUCCUGUGGAUCUUAGGAGGCUCUGCCUUGGUAAGUAUAUCAACUCUCUAAGUCUUAGGAAAUUUGCCAGAUACUCACCAACGCUACAGGUUUAGGAGGAUUGUAAGAUGUCCCCCAGUCUCUUCCCACAAGCAUUAUGGUUACCUGGCAUGAUCAGUCCUGGGAGGCUUGUGCCAUCGCCCACAUGUGAGAUUUAGGAGGCUCUUUGAGCGCUUCCUGAAAUCCUAGCCUCCAUGAAUGUAAAGAGAUUUACUGCCCUCCCACACCCAUGCACAUACACCAACACCUGCUAGUCUUAAAAUGCUUAUCAGGGCCACAAACUUGCUGUGGGUCUUAGGAGGUUUGUGAGUUCCUACAAUAAACCAUAGCAGGGUCAUGGUCCACCCCCUCCUGAAUCUUAGAGUGGCCUUUGAGUGGCCCCCUAACACACAUUUUACCCUGUGAUCUUUAGGGGAGGCUCUUUGGUGGAAACCCCACACUUCAGGAGUCUUAUUUGUUUAGGGGUCCUUCACUCCUGGCCUUAAUAAGCUACUCAGCCCAGCUGACCCAUAACAGGAUCAUUGAAUCCCUAAUGAGCCAAAUUAGGGACAUGGGUCAUCAUUGGGGUAUAUCUCCGCUCCCUUAGGUUUGCCCCUGCCAUCUAGCCUCCAUAAUCUCCCUGUGGAUUCUUUUCUCCUGUGAACCUUAAGAGACGCGCAGGAGUAUCACUCCACCUGGGUAACUGCAUCAGCCCAUUGUUAAAUAUUAGGAUGCCUACUUCAAUGGCACAGAAGUGAGGAGGCUAGUAGACUUCUACCCAUACCCGUUCUCCACAAGUAUUAGUAACCUGCCAAUACCCACUGCACAAGCCUCCUUAAGUCUUACAGGGGCCCCUGUAGGUUAAUUAAAAUGCCAAUAAGUAGUUAAAGAUUUAUGUAUUGAUUGAGUGAGAACUGGGAGUUAAGCGCCUAGGUGCUUUUCAAGAUCCCACUGUGCACCAAUCUGCAUCUCUAGGCAUAUAAAUACCUUUAAAAAUCUGGCCCUUUGGCUGAGAUUUUCAAAGUAAUCUGAAAGUGUUAGGGUGUCAGAUUUCCACUGAAUUUGAAAAUCUCAGCCUUUUUAAUGAUGCAAUUUAGUACUGGAUUGACAGCGUUGGAAAUCUGAAAUCCUCUGUCUGCAGGAAAUUACAGAACAGGCAGAAGAUAAACAUGCCUAAACUGGUCAGUCAGUCUUAAUUUGUGCUUUUCUGUGGCCAUGAGAAGUAAGUUGCUAUGGUCAUAUAUGAAAUUCUGUUCCAGCUACCUGUAUGUGACCCUGCAUUAUGGCAGACUACAAUACAGAUAUGCUUUAGUUCCCAAGUUCACUAAUUAAAGUUCAUUAUAGGAAAAAAUAGCUAAUUAAAAGUGUGUGUGUGUGUGUGUGUAUAUGUUUGUACACUUAGGCCUAGUUGCAACUAAAACUUAGGUCAACCUAGCUACGUCAUACAGGGGAGUGAAAAAUUCACACCCUGGAGAGAUAUAGCUAAGCUGACCUAAGCCCCAGUAUAGACACCACUAGACUGACAAAAGAAAUUCUUCCAUUGACUUGGCUACUGCCUCUUGAGGGAGUGGGUUUACUACAGUGAUGGAAAAAUCCUUCCAUUGCUGUAGCAAGUGUCAACAUUGUGGUACUACAACUGCAGAGCUGCAGCUAUCCCUCUGUAGUGUCUGAAGCGUAGACAAACACUUGGGGGAACAAUGUAAGAAUGGGGAAAAUUCUCAUUGAAAUUUUAUGUAGGCAAUUUGGAGAUCUUAUUGCUCUCUUUCAUUUUGUGAAUAAAAACUGAAUAAGUACACUAGUCCACAGCCAUCCACUUUAGGAACAACAUAGAAGAAAAGAAUAUUUCCAAAUUAAACAUAAAUUUGUUUUAACUUUUUUUUUUUUUUUUUAAAUUUCCAGAGUGCUGAUACGGUUAAUUGAUGACUUUUUGCUACUUACACCUCACUUAACACUAGCGAAAACUUUUCUGAGGGAUUGCUUUAGGUACCAAAGGUGCUUCUGGGCUAUUUCCUUCUGAAGCAGCAGAAUGGCUUUGCUAUCAUGCUUUCAUUAUCAAACUGACAAACCACAAAGUUGUCUACAAG